rnacentral:lncRNA from 1 species
GACCCCGCUCCACCCUCCGUACCACGUGGGCCAGGCGCCCCGCAGCCUGAUCCCUCGGCUGAGGCGGGGUCAGAGGGCUAAGGGUGACUGACUGCCCAGUGCAUGGAUCUCAGCAGCACGGCUUGACUUUCGGGCGGCAGGCAAGGAUGCUAAUCCACAAGGUUCCUGAGUCCAACAUCCCUCCCUCCAAUGUGGGGCUCGAAUCCGCUAUUGCAACCAAACCCGGGUUCUGCCCGCAGGGUGGCGCAAUGACAAGAGCCACCAGGUGACCCUGGUAACUCCCGCACCUAGACCUACAGGAGCAGUUUUUCUGCAGCACCACAUCUGUAGCCCUGCAUGCCGCUGGCUCCAGUGUUGUGUGUGUGGUCAUGCUCCAUCCAGCCCAGCAGCAACUUUGGUGUUUGACACCCCUCGGGAGGCACCGCUUUGGAAGAGACUGGUAACAGCAGGGUGGGACCGGCUACUUAGCUGUUCUCAGUCUGAAAGGAUUCUGGAAAGGGGCUCUAUUUAACCCAAGCACUGGAGUCCAACACAGCCUCUGCCGUGUGACAGGUGUGUGCGGAGCCCAAGAUGUGUUGGGAACAGCUAUCGUUUCUACUGCUUUGUCCCAUGCCUCUGGAGCUCCUGGGUUCCUGAACUUCAAGCUGGGCCCCAUCCUUCACCCUAUCAGGGCCCUGGGUGGAGCUGACUUCCAACAGUAUACAGUGGGUCUUGGUACUUCCUCCUUGGCAUUCGACAGUUGGUGUUUUUGAAGUCAGAGCCAUCCUCAGUAGGCUCCUAGGGGAUCGUAAGCGGCUUUCUCUGGGUGGAAACCUACUCCAUGCAGCCUUCAGCAAAGGUACCAGCAUCUGUCACUGGGAUGGGGAAGUCCGGUGAUCGUGUCAGCAUGGGCUACGGUGGACGGGGAAAGGCUCGUUCUGACACUAGACACCUGGGUCUCUAGCCCUAUGCCUGGAUUUGUCUGGGGAACUCUGCACCACACUGAUCCUGGCUUUCCCCAUUACCUGCUCCAUGCCAGGAUCCUACGGCUGUUGAUCCCCUCGGAAGUGAGACAUAAUGUCCCGGAGCAGAUGCUGAUGGGGACUCACUGUUGGGCCACCUGAUUUCUGUGUUCAUCUUCCCAGGCUCCACCUUUCAGAUCCCAUCCCUGGUGUCUGCAGUUACAACUUUACUAACCAGAACUUUGUUUCCAGCUUACGCUGAAAAGCAAAGGGUGACUUAGAAUAAAAAUGUAACAAAUAGCCCCAUAGCCCAAACCUUUUCUGCCAUGAUUUACUGUACCAGAUACCUAUAAGUGUCCAGGGCAAAUUAAACACAUCAAUAAAUGGCUUUCUUGUGUCUGUCCUGCAAAAAAAAAAAAAAAAA